UUCACAUGGAAGGGGCCUUUUGGAUCUGCAUCCAUCUAGGUCGUGCUACUCACGGCCUGUGCGAUACAUUUUCAUCCAUGGUGAAUAUUUCAACCAGAACCACACUUCAAACCUGGACACACAACGGCAAGCUGGCCUACAUGCAGAGACCUCUUUAUGAGAAGCUGUGGGAUAAGUUGAACUAACUCCAUGGAACCAUCACUCAGAAUUCCAAGACAGAAGAGAAUGGAUUUAACUGUGGCAGCAUGGUGGAAAUCAUCCAUAAAGCAGUGCCAGCUCCCAAACUCCUGGAGAUUCUGGUUGCCUGGAUGACCAUCCCCAAGGAAAAUGGGAAAUGCAUAGCCCAUGGAUCAGGGUGAUAUGGUUUGGCUCUGUGUCCCCACCCAAAUCUCAUGUCAAAUUGACUCCCAAUGUUGAGGAGGGACCUAGUAGGAGGUGACUGGACCAUGGGGGUGGAUUUCCUUUUGCUGUACUCACAAUAGUGAGCUCUCAUGAGUACUAGUUGUUUAAAAGUAUGUAGCACAUCCCCCCUUUGCUGUCUCUCUCCUGCUUUGCCAUGUGAAAUUUGUGCCUGCUUCCCCUUUGCCUUCUGCCAUGAUUGUAAGUUUCCAGAGGCCUCACAGCCAUGCUUGCUGUAUAGCCUGCGGAACUGUGAGUCAACUCAGCCUCUUUUCUUUAUAAAUUACCCAGUCUCAGGUAGUUUUUUAUAGCAGUGUGAGAACAAACUAACACAUGGGGCAACCACAGCUUUUUUUGUAAGAGAAUGUGCUCACCUGGACAACUUAGACAGCUUUGUGGUCAUAUACUGAUCCCUCUCCAUGGAUCAAACCUCUCAAAAUGUCAAACUUCCCAAAAUGUCAGAUUAAAGAUCUGCUGAAAUUUUCUGGAAAUUUUAUAAUUAUUGGGCACAAAAGAAUUCUAAAAAUGCACAAAUCUAUGCACAUUGGUCUUGGCCUCCCAAGACUUGAGAAGCAACCGUUAUCUUCUUCUAAAGUAUCAAGCUCCAGAUGUUGGAUUAGUUGCCCUCCUUUUGCAGAAGUGUGAUGGGAGGUCAAACUCCAGCCCCAGGAGUGUUCCAUGUCGACUGAUCAUCUGAGGCUGAACAGGAAAGUAUUUGCACUGAAACAGGUUUUACUGAAUCUUUAGAUAUUGAACGAGGA
rnacentral:lncRNA from 10 species